UGGGGAAUCUUGGACAAUGGGGGCAACCCUGAUCCAGCGAUGCCGCGUGAGCGAAGAAGGCCUUAGGGUUGUAAAGCUCCUUCGCCCGCGACGAUGAUGACGGUAGCGGGAGAAGAAGCCCCGGCUAACUCCGUGCCAGCAGCCGCGGUAAUACGGAGGGGGCUAGCGUUGUCCGGAAUUACUGGGCGUAAAGCGCGCGUAGGCGGUCCACCAAGUCGGGGGUGAAAGCCCGGGGCUCAACCCCGGAAUGUCCUCCGAGACUGUUGGACUGGAGUUCGGGAGAGGAGAGCGGAAUUCCCAGUGUAGAGGUGAAAUUCGUAGAUAUUGGGAAGAACACCGGUGGCGAAGGCGGCUCUCUGGCCCGCAACUGACGCUGAGGCGCGAAAGCGUGGGGAGCAAACA
rnacentral:rRNA from 1 species